UACGGAGGGUGCAAACGUUGCUCGGAAUCAUUGGGCGUAAAGCGCACGUAGGCGGCCUGAUAAGUCGGGUGUGAAAGCCCUGGGCUCAACCCAGGAAGUGCACUCGAAACUGUCAGGCUUGAAUAUGGAAGAGGGUCGCGGAAUUCCCGGUGUAGAGGUGAAAUUCGUAGAUAUCGGGAGGAACACCAGUGGCGAAGGCGGCUCUCUGGAACGCAACUGACGCUGAGACGCGAAAGCGUGGGGAGCAACAGG
rnacentral:rRNA from 1 species